GUGCAGAGCAGCUCUUGGUGUGCUCCUUGCAGGAGGAUCACCUCGUCUGAGCUGUUCUCAGAUUACGGCCAGUGUCCUUUUGUUUCUCUAUUUUCUUGCACAGUCCGUGGACUGGUGCAAGUGUCCCAUUUUUCACCUUUUUACUUGCACAGUCUCAGGACUCGUGCAAGUGUCCUGUUUUACCCCUUUUUACUUGCACAGUCCCGAGACUUGUGCAAGUGGGGUUUUUUUUCCAUUUUUGUUUCCUGGCCUACGGACUCGAGCAGCCCUGCUCAAAGGAUGGAGCGAGUCCGUAGAGCAGUCAGCAGCGCCUUUUCAUUGGCGGCUUCUUGGAAAGCUUUUCUUCGUUUGGCUGCUCGCCUCAGAGGUGGAAGGAGUCAAGCGCGCACUUCGGUCCCGCGAGGAGAGGAUCUUGCCAGUCAGGACUCCUGGGCCCAGACAGGAAAGGCGGAGCGGCAGGAGAGCACGGACGGAGUGCACGGUGCCC